rnacentral:lncRNA from 1 species
CCGCUCUGCUGUCCUCAGAGUCAGUGACACAUAAGUCAUUUGGCUGACAUUUUAAUAAACAUCUGUUUUUUUCAGAGCAAACCACAACAGUCAUCUUUGUUAGGAUUUCCUGGCAUUCUAAUGUCAUCUCCAUGGAUAUUGUAGUCUGUUCCUGCAGAAACAAAACAAAUAUAAAACCAACAACCCCUCCAGAACUCAGAGUGAGAUGGAAAGACCUUGAGAGCUUUCAUCCCUCUCCAUUUGUGCUUGCCACCCAGCCUUGGAAGCAGCUCAGCUUUGAUAAGACUUCGCAAGAGGCUGGCCUGCUCCUCCCCAGGUCUUGAAGUCUUCCUGAUGUGGAGCAAGGACUGGGGACUUUCCCAGAUGGGAAAACUACAGGUGAUCAGGUUCCCUGAAUACAUUCUUCCAGAGACUGAGCUGUCUUCCAUCACCAUGUUCGUUGCUGCUACUGUUUUAACUCUCUCAGGACAAGGAAACCACCUCAAAAUGCAACUGGAAGGUGCUUUAAGAAGUUAUACUCUCAUGUUUUCUUUCAAGGUAAGUGCGAAUUUUUGUUUUGAGAAGUCUAAUUAAAGUUAACUGCCUAUGGAGAAAUGAUGGGCUUGCGUGCUUCAGCUCUCCCUAGGGAUAUGCCCUUCCCAGCUGAAUUAAGUUGCCACUGUGUUUCACUAAUGUGCAUCUGAUGCUUAAUGAAUUGGGGUGUUAUUACCAUUGGGUAGAGGUGGAUUAAAAUUGAGUCCAAAGCCUUUCCAUUCAUUCCACUAAUUAUUCUCUGCAUUCAUUGCACACAGAUGAAACGAUGAAAGGCUCCCUGUUGUGCGGGAUUUGGACAUUUCACACUUGGAACAUAAAUUGGGCUGAUUAUCCAUACAGCAUUAUUGUCACAUUUGUGGGUUUUGGUGCCAGGAAGCAAUAAGCUGUGAACUGCCGUAUUCCCAGUGUCUCAGCCUCUGGGGAUGGGAAGGAAAACCCUUUCUUUGUAUGUCCUUCUUCAAUUUCGUAUCUAGAUCAUUUUGGCUCAUAGGCCUAUACCAGAGAUAGAUUCCCCUCUCCUCUCUCCAAAUGUACAAGCAGCCAUCACUCUGAAGCUUUGCAGGCAUUCAGAUCAUGCUUCUAAAAAUCAGCUUCCAUUCCUCCAUUCCCAUACUCACAGGUUUCAAGAAAAAGGCAAAGCACUGAGAUGCUGUAAGAGGCUUCUCUUGGCACUAUCUGCUGGGGAACACAGUACAGGAAAUCUUUUGAAAUAGAUGGCUUCUCACACAAAUUACACUCUGCUAAGAGACUUCAAGGGAUUCUAGUUCAUGGUUGAUUCUUAUCCAGGCAGAAAGUCUUGAGUGUUUUGGAUUGCCCCUCUUUUAGCCUGACUUUUCUUAGUCAAGGGGUAGACAAAGUCUUUACUGUUGGGAUGCUGGUGUCCCAGGGGCAGACUGCUCUGCCAUAAAGACACGUUCAGCCCUUAGUUGCUGAUCCAGUUAUGCAAGUGCAUUGCCUCAUGUGCUUUCUGUAGUAUACUGAAGUCCCUUCUCCAUUAAACCAGGGUCUGAUGAAAACCCAGCACUGCACCAAAUACUGGAUCAGGACUUAACAGUCACGUCUUUAGCCUGUAUUCUUCCAGAAAAGCCUGACAUUUUUGUAUGUGUACAUGUAUACAAAGAGGCUGACGAUAUACAACAUAUAUGCACAACCUCAUCUUACAGAUAAUAUAGCCAAGUUUCUGAGGUACCCUUAAUUCUGGAGUUUCAAAAGAACCAAUUAAAAAGAAAUCUUUGGAUGUCAUAAAACUUGAGACAUUUGUGUGAAAUAUUUCUAUUUUGAAGAAACAUUUCAGAAUAUUCAGAUUAAAAGCUGUUUUGUCAAAAAUCUACCAAUUAUAGCAAAAGGGAAACUAAUGAGGAAAGCAAGUCUGGCACAGAACUGAACAAACUGGAGGCAUCUCAUACAUAAACUUGGAAUCAGAUCUUACUCAUGUCCCAUGGAUGUGUGAAAUAAACUGACAGUUUGCUUAGUCA